rnacentral:misc_RNA from 1 species
CAAAAACUGACGUGUGUGAUCGUUCCACGUGUACACGAGCUCUGUACGUGGCCUUUAUGUCCGGUGGAUCCUACGUGAUAUAAUUUUAGUCUCGUAAGUCUACUUUUAUUAAAAAAUGACAGGCACCUAGGUGAACGCCACAUGGCGUGGUUGCACACGUGGCUCCAAACGGUGUGACUUUCGGGUGUAGUUGCUAGAAGGUGCAGUGUUGUUACUGCGCGCCCCAAUUGGGGUCCUUUGGCGGUGGCCGUUAAGCAGAAAAUAAAUUAUUUUAUUAGCACUUUUACUUUUACUUUUACGUUUUUUAUUUUUUUUAAAUUAUCUUCUAAUUUUUCAACAUUACCCUCAAAUUGGCAGAUAAUAACAACUAUACCCUCUAACCUAACCGUAACUAACUCAGAUCUAAAGGGUAUUUACAUUAGAGUUUAGGUGGGACCAAAGGGAUCUUUUGGUAUAUUCUGUGGAAAUGUUAACUUAUUACUGUAGGAAAUUUCGUGCACCGUCCAAUUCCAG